rnacentral:rRNA from 1 species
AACGAACGCUGGCGGCAUGCCUAACACAUGCAAGUCGAACGAGACCUUCGGGUCUAGUGGCGCACGGGUGCGUAACGCGUGGGAACCUGCCCUUAGGUUCGGAAUAACUCCCCGAAAGGGGUGCUAAUACCGGAUAAUGUCUUCGGACCAAAGAUUUAUCGCCUUUGGAUGGGCCCGCGUUGGAUUAGCUAGUUGGUAGGGUAAAAGCCUACCAAGGCGACGAUCCAUAGCUGGUCUGAGAGGAUGAUCAGCCACACUGGGACUGAGACACGGCCCAGACUCCUACGGGAGGCAGCAGUAGGGAAUAUUGGACGAUGGGCGAAAGCGUGAUCCAGCAGUGCCGCGUGAGUGAUGAAGGCGUUAGGGUUGUAAAGCUGUUUUACCCGGGAUGAUAAUGACAGUAACGGGUGAAUAAGCUCCGGCUAACUCCGUG